rnacentral:rRNA from 1 species
AUGGCUCGAGCAAGAGUGAUCGCAGCGCUGGCUGUGGCGUUACUGGGCUGCGCAUUGGCCGUCGCCGGGGACGACGUCGCCCCAAGUGCGUCCCGACCCAAGGCGCAGCCCCCUGCGCCCGGGGGACUGCUGAAGGCGCACGCCACGUUCUACGGCGGCGCCGACGGCGCUGGCACCAUGGGCGGCGCGUGCGGGUACGGCAACCUCUACUCGGCCGGGUACGGCGCGAGCACGACGGCGCUGAGCACGGCGCUGUUCAACGACGGCGCGUCGUGCGGGCAGUGCUACAGGAUCGCGUGCGACGGCAAGCGGGCGGACCCCCGGUGGUGCAAGCUCGGCGAGGCGGUGACCGUUACGGCCACCAACUUCUGCCCGCCCAACUACGACCUGCCGAGCGACGACGGUGGCUGGUGCAAUCCGCCGCGGCCGCACUUCGACAUGGCGCAGCCGGCCUGGGAGAAGAUCGGCGUCUAUCGGGCCGGCAUCAUCCCCGUCGUAUACCAAAGGUUUCUGUCUUCAAUCUACUCUCAUCUGAACUAUAUAUAUGAUCCUUCUGCAAGUAGUAGUAGAUUACAGCAACUGAUGGUCCUGACUCCUGACCGCAGGGUACCGUGCGUGCGGCGGGGCGGCGUGCGGUUCACCAUCAACGGCCAUGACUACUUCCAGCUUGUUCUAUUGACCAACGUCGCGACCAUUGGCUCGAUCAAGACGAUGGAUGUCAAGGGCUCCGAAUCACCCGACUGGAUGCCGAUGGCACGCAACUGGGGGGCGAAUUGGCACUCUCUCGCGUACCUCACGGGGCAGAGGCUCUCGUUCAGGGUGACCAACGAUGAUGGGCAGACUCUUACGUUCACAAAUGUGGUGCCAUCCGGCUGGAAGUUCGGCCAGACAUUUGCUAGCAACGUGCAGUUUAAGUGA